GGAGAGAUGUCCGAGUGGUCGAAGGUGGCGGUCUCGAAAACCGCUGUACGGGGAUAACCCGUACCGAGGGUUCAAAUCCCUCUCUCUCCG
rnacentral:tRNA from 1 species